CCCAAACUGGAAAAUUUGGGAGCAUACUUCAUAUCUGCCCCUAAGUUGAGCUUUCAGUGUAAAAGAAAAGCUUCCAGUAGGACAAAGAAUCAUCUAACAAGUCAUACUCAUGUUUAAAGGCACCUAAAAUCAAGAAAACUUACUGGGGGGUUGCUUGUUGCAUUUACUAUUUCAAUAUUUGUGGAUAUUUGAAGCUGAAUCCUGCAUGGAAGACGGUCAAUGAAAAACCAGUGCGUAGACUGCCAUCUACUGGACAACCAGAAAACAAACUGCUGAGUCGCCCUAGGACCUUGAGCAACAAAGGCAAAAAGGCAAAAUUAUGAAUACAUCAGUGGAACAGACAGGAGCAUGUAGGCACAACAAUGGUCCAGUUUGAAAUGAUUAUUUGCAAAAGAGUGUACAUUUCUACUUUCAAUGUUUGUACAGAGUCACUGGAGUUAUGACAAUAAAAUGAUUUUCAAAUUGUGAUUCCUUGAUACACCCAGGGAGCAGAGACGACUCAGAACUUCUAGUGACAUAUCAAAAACAGAUAUGAGGAAUGUUCCCUUCCCCAGAAUAAGAACAGAACGG
rnacentral:lncRNA from 1 species